GUGACGUGGCAGACAGCCAGGCCCGUUGAUUCAUUUUCAGAGCAAAUUAGCCGGAGACUUUUUAAUGUAAUUAGCUAGCAAUUUAUUACUGUUAGUAAACUAUCAAGACGAGCAGUACAGCAAAUGUAAAUUCCUGAAAGAAGAGUGUGAUGCAACGCUACUCUCUACGUCCACGGCCCAUCUGCUCAUCCACUCCGCGUAGCAGAAAGGACAGCAGAGUUGAAAGACGGUGGGACUGAGGGUUAGAACUCUACUUGCGGCUGAGCCUUCGGCGGGAGGAAAUCUGAGGACUCGCCACCCAUUCGGAUGCUGGCUUUCCAGAAGAGGUAGAAUGGCCUCUGGCAGAUGGCUGAAGCCAUCUGUGUGUGCCUCGCGCCAAAAGUAAACAUCGCCUUUACUGAAAGAGAAAAGAAGAAUCUAAACUGUAGAGAGAAGCUACUCUGGUUUCUUAGAGUCACACAGUCAAUAAAGGAGGGACCAGGCAUUCCACCAGGAACACGACCCUCAAAACCCAGCUCCGAAUCAGUUAUCAUGUCUCUAAAAAAUAAGAUCACAUGUUUAUUAUGCAUGCUACUCUCAAAUAAUUCCCACUGUAGCAAACAGGAGAAGAACCUACAGGGGAAAAUAGCCCUCCUGACUCAACACCUUCAUUGAGACAGCUUUCUUCUCCCUCAGAAUGACAUUUGGCUUACUCCUCCUCUUGCAGAAUUACAAGGUGCUGUGUUCAUGGUUUUCAAGGAAAAAAAGAGUCCAAAGUUCAAGAAGUGAUAAUGGGGAACUGUCAUUUUCAUGCUCUGAAUGAUCACAGCAUGAUGGGACCAGGGGUCAACCCUAAUCCAAGCUUUUAUAAAGAUGACCAGAGAAUAACAGACACUCGCCUUCCUUAGAUGCUGCAUUUCUAAUCUGAAAACAGACCUUAAGCUGUCUCUCAGCACUGUUCUGAAGAUGAAGUCAAAUACCGCAUGCACAGUGCCUGGAACUUUCCGGGUGUGUUCUAAAUGUUACUUUACUGGUCUUGGCUUUGUUUCCCUCAAAAAAUCAAAUAAAAAUAAA